UACGUAGGUGGCAAGCGUUGUCCGGAUUUACUGGGCGUAAAGAGCGCGCAGGCGGUCGUUCAAGUCGCGUGUGAAAGCCCCCGGCUCAACUGGGGAGGGUCACGCGAUACUGAUCGACUCGAAGGCAGGAGAGGGUAGUGGAAUUCCCGGUGUAGUGGUGAAAUGCGUAGAUAUCGGGAGGAACACCAGUGGCGAAGGCGGCUGCCUGGGCCUGGCCUGACGCUGAGGCGCGAAAGCGUGGGGAGCAAUCCGG
rnacentral:rRNA from 1 species